rnacentral:rRNA from 1 species
UACGUAGGGGGCAAGCGUUGUCCGGAAUCAUUGGGCGUAAAGAGCGUGUAGGCGGCUUGGUAAGUCCGCUGUGAAAGUCCAGGGCUCAACCCUGGAAUGCCGGUGGAAACUGUCAAGCUUGAGUCCGGAAGAGGCGAGUGGAAUUCCUGGUGUAGCGGUGAAAUGCGCAGAUAUCAGGAAGAACACCCGUGGCUAAGGCGGCUCUCUAGUACGGUACUGACGCUGAGACGCGAAAGCGUGGGGAGCGAACAGG